UAUCAAUAAGCGGCAGCACACAGNCNCCCUUGNGCUUGCACAAGCANNCACUUGAAGAUUGUUUUCUGGUACAGGCCCUUGUCUAUGUUCCUUGGAACAGGACGUCAUAGAGGGUGAGAAUCCCGUCUGAUGGGGUGUCCAGUGCUUUGUAGAUUUCUAUCGAAGAGUCGAGUUGUUUGGGAAUGCAGCUCUAAGUGGGUGGUAAAUUCCAUCUAAAGCUAAAUACUGGCGAGAGACCGAUAGCGAACAAGUACAGUGAUGGAAAGAUGAAAAGAACUUUGAAAAGAGAGUGAAAAAGUACGUGAAAUUGUUGAAAGGGAAGGGUAUUGGAUCAGACUUGGUGUUUUGUGAUUAUCUUCCCUUCUUGGGUUGUGCACUCGCAUUUCACUGGGCCAGCAUCGGUUCGGAUGGCAAGAUAAUGGCUUGGGAACGUGGCACUCUUCGGAGUGUGUUAUAUCCCUUGUUGAUGUUGCCUAUCUGGACCGAGGACUGCGGCUUCU
rnacentral:rRNA from 1 species